rnacentral:rRNA from 1 species
GCUGAAACUACGCCUACAUGAAGCUGGAGUUGCUAGUAAUCGCGAAUCAGCAUGUCGCGGUGAAUACGUUCCCGGGCCUUGUACACACCGCCCGUCACACCAUGAGAGUUGGCAAUACCCAACGUACGUGAUCUAACCCGCAAGGGAGGAAGCGUCCUAAGGUAGGGUCAGCGAUUGGGGUGAAGUCGUAACAAGGUACC